UCUCUACGGGGGCACCCUGACCGCAAUGCCGCGUGAGUGAAGAAGGCCUUCGGGUUGUAAAGCUCUUUUGUCAGGGAAGAAACACCGGCUCUAACACAGUCCGGGAAUGACGGUACCUGAAGAAUAAGCACCGGCUAACUACGUGCCAGCAGCCGCGGUAAUACGUAGGGUGCAAGCGUUAAUCGGAAUUACUGGGCGUAAAGCGUGCGCAGGCGGUUAUACAAGACAGGCGUGAAAUCCCCGGGCUUAACCUGGGAAUGGCGCCUGUGACUGUAUAGCUAGAGUGUGUCAGAGGGGGGUAGAAUUCCACGUGUAGCAGUGAAAUGCGUAGAUAUGUGGAGGAAUACCAAUGGCGAAGGCAGCCCCCUGGGAUAACACUGACGCUCAUGCACGAAA
rnacentral:rRNA from 1 species